rnacentral:rRNA from 1 species
AGUGAACGCUGGCGGUAGGCCUAACACAUGCAAGUCGAACGGCAGCACAGUAAGAGCUUGCUCUUACGGGUGGCGAGUGGCGGACGGGUGAGGAAUACAUCGGAAUCUACUUUUUCGGGGGGGAUAACGUAGGGAAACUUACGCUAAUACAGCAUACGACCUACGGGUGAAAGCAGGGGAUCUUCGGACCUUGCGCGAUUGAAUGAGCCGAUGUCGGAUUAGCUAGUUGGCGGGGUAAAGGCCCACGAAGGCGACGAUCCGUAGCUGGUCUGAGAGGAUGAUCCGCCAGACUGGAACAGAGACACGGCCCAGACUCCUACGGGAGGCAGCAGUGGGGAAUAUUGGACAAUGGGGGCAAGCCUGAUCCAGCCAUACCGCGUGGGUGAAGAAGGCCUUCGGGUUGUAAAGCCCUUUUGUUGGGAAAGAAAAGCAGCAGGUUAAUACCCCGCUGUUCUGACGGUACCCAAAGAAUAAGCACCGGCUAACUUCGUG